rnacentral:rRNA from 1 species
AUUGAACGCUGGCGGCAUGCCUUACACAUGCAAGUCGAACGGCAGCACGGGCGCUUGCACCUGGUGGCGAGUGGCGAACGGGUGAGUAAUACAUCGGAACGUACCUUAUCGUGGGGGAUAACGCAGCGAAAGCUGUGCUAAUACCGCAUACGCCCUGAGGGGGAAAGCGGGGGAUCGCAAGACCCCGCGCGAUUCGAGCGGCCGAUGCCUGAUUAGCUAGUUGGUGGGGUAAAAGCCCACCAAGGCGACGAUCAGUAGCUGGUCUGAGAGGACGAUCAGCCACACUGGGACUGAGACACGGCCCAGACUCCUACGGGAGGCAGCAGUGGGGAAUUUUGGGCAAUGGGGGCAACCCUGAUCCAGCAAUGCCGCGUGAGUGAAGAAGGCCUUCGGGUUGUAAAGCUCUUUUGUCAGGGAAGAAACACCGGCUCUAACACAGUCCGGGAAUGACGGUACCUGAAGAAUAAGCACCGGCUAACUACGUGCCAGCCGCCGCGGUAA